rnacentral:tRNA from 2 species
GCCGGAAUGGCGGAAUUGGCAGACGCACCAGACUCAAAAUCUGGCGUUGGCAACAACGUAUCGGUUCAAGUCCGAUUUCCGGCACCA